GGAAGAGAACAGGGGGAGACGGGAGAGGCCAAUAGGGAGGGACACUGCAAUGUUACACGCCCCAGCUUCAGGUUCAAGGUGGCUGGUCCUGGUGCAGCAAGGGGCUCAGGCUCUCUGCAGACUUCGGCAGCUUGUUGUACAGGGAUUGUGCGCACUGGGUAGUGGUUUGGGGCAGCAAGGGUGAAAAGCGGGGGGAGAGGUCAGUUAGGUUUUUAAUUUAAAAAAAAAAAAUCAAGUUGGGAAAGUGGGAGCCCCAGGCCUGCACCUGCUGUGACCCCGGCCUCCGCCAGUGGGAAGCUCGGGCUUCUGCUACUGAGGACAAAGCAGGAAGAACAUCAAAAGGCAUAUCCCUGACACCUGAUGACCACACCAUGUGCUAAACUGUAAGCCUCUGCUUCAAAGCAUUAAGCCUGGAAGCAUGCUCUAUGGAAACUGGAAAUCCUGACAAGAGGAGUCACAAAAUGCUUCCUUGUCUGAUGUAAUGUCGUGGGAGCUGGCAUGAGCGUCUCUGAUAAUGGUGUGUGCAACACUUGCAUGAAGAUUGUAACAGAAACUGUGUAUUUUCAGAUGAAUGGCUUCUAUUUUUCCAUGUAAUAUUAUGUGCAUAUGUCCUUCUGGCAGGAAAUGACCAGGGGGUAGCUCUGAUUUUACCCUAAUAUGUUAUCACAGUUGUUCAUGACUUGAAUCUAAAUGCUAUUGAAUAUUAGCUCCCAUUUAGUACUUUACCAAAAGGACGCAGCUCUGCCAGUGCCCAUUUUUAGUGAAUUUAACAAACAGUAUGCACUAAACAGCUACAGAUUUCCAUUUUGACAAUGACAGCACUGGAUUCCCUGAGCCAGUCUAUAUUGGUGUAAAUCAGCAGAGCUGCACUGAAGCCAGUAGCGCUAUGUCACUUUGCAUAAUAAUCUGACCUCCUCAUUCUUGCCUCAAAACACUCAUAUGAGGUAGGCAAAGAUUACUAGGCUUUUAAUUUAGCAGAUCUGCUGUACAGCUUCUCUCUGCUCUCAGGCUCUUAUUGCGCCUCUGUGGUCAGCAAAGGAACAUACAGCAAGAGAGAGAGAAACUGCAGCCGGGUGUAUUUUAAACAAUUUCCAAAAUCCAAACGAAUGUUGAGGCCAAGAGGAUGUUUUCCUUAGUGGCAGAAAUACAAGCAUCCUGGAUUCUGUUUUCCUGCUAAUAGGUAUAAAGACGAAUAAACAGCUGCUUUCUGUUUUCCCAAAAAUAUUUGCAUUAAGAUGAUCUGCAAAUUCCUGCUCAGAUUGAUGGAACAUCUCUUCAAAUGAGGACCAGCUGCUUGCUCUGUUUGUUUAUGGCAGGGCAUGCUU